rnacentral:rRNA from 1 species
AUUGAACGCUGGCGGCAGGCCUAACACAUGCAAGUCGAGCGGAUGAAGGGAGCUUGCUCCUGGAUUCAGCGGCGGACGGGUGAGUAAUGCCUAGGAAUCUGCCUGGUAGUGGGGGAUAACGUCCGGAAACGGGCGCUAAUACCGCAUACGUCCUGAGGGAGAAAGUGGGGGAUCUUCGGACCUCACGCUAUCAGAUGAGCCUAGGUCGGAUUAGCUAGUUGGUGGGGUAAAGGCCUACCAAGACGACGAUCCGUAACUGGACUGAGAGGAUGAUCAGUCACACUGGAACUGAGACACGGUCCAGAGUCAUACGGGAGGCAGCAGUGGGGAAUAUUGGACAAUGGGCGAAAGCCUGAUCCAGCCACGCCGCGUGUGUGAAGAAGGUCUUCGGAUUGUAAAGCACUUUAAGUUGGGAGGAAGGGCAGUAAGUUAAUACCUUGCUGUUUUGACGUUACCAACAGAAUAAGCACAGGCUAACUUCGUG